rnacentral:rRNA from 1 species
UGGGGAAUAUUGGACAAUGGGCGCAAGCCUGAUCCAGCAAUGCCGCGUGGGUGAAGAAGGUCUUCGGAUUGUAAAGCCCUUUCGGCGGGGACGAUGAUGACGGUACCCGCAGAAGAAGCCCCGGCUAACUUCGUGCCAGCAGCCGCGGUAAUACGAAGGGGGCUAGCGUUACUCGGAAUUACUGGGCGUAAAGGGCGCGUAGGCGGUUUGAUUAGUCAGGCGUGAAAUUCCUGGGCUUAACCUGGGGACUGCGCUUGAUACGGUCAGACUUGAGGAUGGAAGAGGGUUGUGGAAUUCCCAGUGUAGAGGUGAAAUUCGUAGAUAUUGGGAAGAACACCGGUGGCGAAGGCGGCAACCUGGUCCAUUACUGACGCUGAGGCGCGAUAGCGUGGGGAGCAAA